UACGAAGGGGGAUAGCGUUGUUCGGAAUUACUGGGCGUAAAGCGCACGUAGGCGGACAUUUAAGUCAGGGGUGAAAUCCCGGGGCUCAACUCCGGAGCUGCCUUUGAUACUGGGUGUCUCGAGUCCGGAAGAGGUGAGUGGAAUUCCGAGUGUAGAGGUGAAAUUCGUAGAUAUUCGGAGGAACACCAGUGGCGAAGGCGGCUCACUGGUCCGGUACUGACGCUGAGUUGCGAAAUCGUGGGGAGUAAACAGG
rnacentral:rRNA from 1 species